GUUUUUAAACUGUGUAAGUGUUUUUUUACAUAACAAUCUGAUACUUUCAUAAGAAUGAUCAUUUUCGCUAUUUUGUGCAUUUUUCCUUUGAUCUUUUUUUAUAAUUAUUCAUAUCAUGUUACUCGCUUGAGAUGAAAAAUUAUCGCUAGAAACUAAGGUGGCACGUGGCGUUGCUAAUGAAAUUGAUAACGUCAUCAUAGGUAAAAUAGCGAUAAACAGAUUAUCAUUGGUCAUCUCAACUCGAUUGCUUUUCUCGCUUGAGCCGGUACGGUGAAAGCGAGAAAAGCAAUCUCGUUGAAAUGAUCAAGGAUAAUCUAUAAAUAUCUACUAUCUUGGUGUUCUUUAUAUAUAUAAAGUUAAUUAACCUUUGGUACUAAUAAAAAUAUAUUCAAAAUAGAAUACAUGUAGUAUGCAAAUGCAUCUACAUAUUUAUUUAUCCUUGUUAAAAUAUGUAGAAACAUUUGUGUAAGAUUUUAUUUUGAAUAUAUUAUGUAUAUUAUUAAAAUUAACAUGACAUACAGUUUAAGCUCUUGACAUCCUUGCAGUGGUGGAUCCAGAAAUUUUCAUAAGUAGGGGCCAACUGACUGCCUACUUAUAUACGGAAUCACUGAAGCAUGACCGGAGUGGGCCCCCUCUUAGGCAGUUAUUUGGCCCCUACUUAUGAAAAAUUCUGGAUCCAUAAUAAGUAACCAAUUUUUUUCCAAGAAAAGGGGUGCCUGGGCCCUCUCCCUAAAUCCGCCUCUGCUUGUUCGGUUAAAAAUAUGACUGUGUUACUGUAAUUUCUCUUCUUGGUUUCAGGCUUCUCAUUUUAAUCAAGAAACUGGUAACAUUUUAACAUGUCUACAUACAAUCAUUUUUUUUAUAUAAAGAGGUCUUUAUGAAUUAUGUUGUAAUGUUGUGUUUCUUUUGUUGAUGGCUCAAUAGAAAACUUUUGAGUUCGAUGCAUUUCCGUCAAAAACUUUCGUUUUAGUGAACAUCAUGUGUGUGUAUAGGGGCGUCGUCACUUCCAUUGCAAUGUUGAGUGAAUGGUUGGAAAACUAUGAUGCUUUAUUACAUGAAUUAUUCGGCAAAUUGAAUUCUCAUAGUUGACAAUCAUGACUACUGUCAUAAGGCAAUUGUGAUUAAGUACCUACAGAACAAGUAUUAUUUCUAGUUUAUUCUACACAAUGACGAUCACUAAGAUGCUUGAUGAACGUUAAUAGUGCCAGGAUACAGGUGAUCCCCCCUUUUUCUGGUAAAUGAAGUCAUAAAGGCGUGCAUAAUUGAAGAGUUUUUUCCGGUGAAGGAAGAACUCAAAAGUGGUCUAUAAAUUAUACCCCACAUAUAUUAUUUGCAUCUAAUAUUCAACAAAUUUAAAAAUCUGCCUGCAUCACAAAAUUGACCACCCUUUACUGGGUAGGAUUAAUUGCCCUAAAAAUAUUAACUUUUUUAACAGCAAAUCAUUAUCUGCCGCCUGUAAUCUAAAGAUACUUGAGGACAGAUCUGACUAUCAGUGGCAAACUUGGUUAUAACACCUAUAGAUUGCUAAAAAAUUAACAAUAGAGAAUAAUGGGCCAAAAUUUGGAAUAGAUUGGCAUAAAAGUAUAGAUUUACAGAAAAACAGACCCCCAUGUUUGCCUUUAUAACAAUGUAAUGCUUUCCAUCAAUAUUGUAUCUCUAUGUCUGUUAUUGAAACAAGACAAUCAAAAAUGUGUUAAUGAGUACUGUGGAUUCAAUACUAUUUGUUGGAUCCAAAUUUAAAUGGAUUUCUUGGUCACCUGGGAAUAACAUGUAUAAGAAACCACAAAUUCCAAUUUGCAACAAAUUACAAAUUUUUGAUAUGAAUAUAUGCAGACUUUGGCAAAACCAGGAAUCAAAUAUCCACAAAAAAGAGUUUUCCUUAAUCCAUAAAAAUUGGUACCCACAAAAAUAAAUGAAUUCACAGUAGCUAGUGUCAUUGAAGCAGCAUUAUUAUGGUAAAUGACUUGCGAUGUUUGACCAAUACUUUUAUGAUAUUAUUGUUGUUGUUUCCAUGGAAACUCUAGUCUUUUAUUAUUGUCUAAUUUAUGUUGGAGUGAGCUAUUUUGUUUUCAAUAAAGCAAUAUAUAACUGUUUUCAUGGUUCUACUUAUUUGUUGUGUAAUACUGGACUGAUU
rnacentral:lncRNA from 1 species